rnacentral:rRNA from 1 species
GAGACCCCAGGUCAGGCGGGAUUACCCGCUG